GCAACGCCUGAUGAAGCAACGUUCCCACCACAGCAUCCACCUUAACCUUCCAAAUGCCACUGCUGUGAAGAGGAGCCAUCGCAGAUCGCCAUGGCGACAGAGCCCUUCUGACCCAGGGGAUCCACUGCUCUCAGGCACUGUCCAACCGACACCUGGUGACAGAGGAGCCCGACAGCCUCUGGCUGACCCUCUGGAGACAGAAGGGCACACGGCUGCCAUUUUCGUCGAUGCCUCAUCGGGGCAGUCAGGAAGUGCACAGGCUGAAUCACAGAUUAUCUUCAGGAACACAACUGGGUGACAUGGCAAGUGCAGUGAACAACUCACUCUCCAACAUGCGCCAUCACUAUGCUCAAAAGGAACCUAUUCUCUUCUGUUCUAUUUACUCAUUGCUUCAACUCAUAGAACCCAAAUGGAUGUGUGCAGUGUUCACUAAUAUGAAGACCCUGAAUCAGAGUCAUAGGGAGCUGUGAGAGAAUUUUCUGCAACACUGUUAUUGUCUCAUAGCCUGUGUCCAAUAAGGGAGCUACUGGCCACAUGCAGCUAUUGUACACUUGAAAUGUGACUAGUGGCUACAGAAUUAGCACAACUAUGCAUAUAAGCAUAACUAAGCAAUAAGCAUAACUAAGUUAGCCUUAGAAUAGGAUAACUCCAUCACCCCAACUUAUAUUUUCUGGACAUGUGCCAGCCGCAAAGAGUUGUGUGUCAUGGUGUCCUGGCCUUCGGGAGAUCCAUAUGGUCGCCUUUUUCGGAAAAUGUGUCCUACUCUAGAGCAAGGGAUGAUGAAGAGCUUACCGCCACACAUCCAGAUCUGGCCAGAAGCAAAAACAGGUGUUAACAGUUGCCUCAUGUUGUUGUGAAACCAAUGUAUGAAUUUUCAAUGAAAUUAAUCUUUAUUCAAUAGGUGUUUAUGAAACUU
rnacentral:lncRNA from 1 species